rnacentral:tRNA from 1 species
GUCGGGUCGGCCGGUACGGGCAUGGUGGGUGCUUCCUCGGAGAGCGCGGGUUCGGUUGGCCGUUCCAUGAUCGUGUCGUGGGUCCGUCCC